rnacentral:tRNA from 1 species
GGGUAGGUGGCGAAAUUGGCAGACGCGCUAGCUUUAGGAGCUAGUCCCGCAAGGGGUGCGAGUUCAAGUCUCGCCCUACCCA